rnacentral:rRNA from 1 species
AUACGGAGGACGCGAGCGUUAUCCGGAUUCAUUGGGUUUAAAGGGUGCGCAGGCGGCCGUGCAAGUCAGCGGUGAAAGCCCGGGGCUCAACCCCGGAAGUGCCGUUGAUACUGCAUGGCUGGAAUGCGGUCGAGGCGGGCGGGACGUGGGGGGUUGCGGUGAAAUGCGUAGAUGUGCCACAGAACGCCGAUAGCGGAGGCAGCGCGCCAGGCCUGCAUUGACGCUCGGGCACGAAAGCGUGGGGAUCGAACAGGAUUAGAUACCCUGGUAGUCCACGCCGUAAACGAUGGCGCUCGUCGUCGGCGGCAGACAGUCGGCGGCCAAGCGAAAGCGAUAAGCGCCCCACCUGGGGGGUACGGUCGCAAGGCUGAAACUCAAAUGAAUUGACGGGG